ensembl:lncRNA
CGCGGCUUUUCCACGAGGUCUUUAAUUCCCACUCGGGCCCUGCGCCACCUCCGCGAGUGGCGGGGGGACAUUGUCCCCAAGGGUCACCCCCCAGCCCGGGGUGGGGGAGACACGCGGCGACACCGAGAGGGGACAGACACGGGAGGGAGGGACACGAGCCACCCCCGAGCGGGGAAAAGGGGGAAUGGUGGGAAUUCUUCCCGCUUUAUGUACAAAAUUCCCGGCUGGGGGAGGGGACACUCAGGGACCUCCCCCCUCCCUGUGGGCAAAAUGAUUCUGAUAAUUAAUAUCGAUAAUAAUGGCGAUAAUUAAUGGCAGGGGACAGGGACCGCGGUGUCCCCACGCCCCGGGUGGCACCAGGAUCCUGAUCCCGGACAGGCAGAGACCCGGGAUUCUGGGAUCGGAUUCUGGAAUUGUGGGUGAGCUCUGGAUUGGAGUGGGGAGAGAGCCGGGAAAGGCGGAAGGAGCCGGGUCCCUCCGGAGCAUCCGUCCCAUCCUGGGGUAUCCAGGAUAUUCCCACCUGGAGCAUCCGUCCCACAGUGGAGUAGCCAUCUCUCCUGGGAGCAUCCAUCCUGUCCCAGAUCAUCCAUCCUGCCCUGGAGUAUCCAUCCAUCCCUCCAUGGAUCCAUCCACCCAUCCCUCCAUCUCUCCAUGGAUCCAUCCCUCCAUCAUCCAUCAUCCAUCCANCAUCCAUCCAGAUUGUUCCCCCUACCCAGGAGCAUCCAUCUUUUCCUGGAUCAUCCCUCUAAUCCUCAAUAUCCACCCUAUUCUGGAGCAUCCAUCCCACCUUGGAGUUUCCAUCCCAUCCUGGAUCAUUUUCCAGAGCUUCCAUCCCACCUUGGAGCAUCCUUCCUUUUCCAAAACUUCUAUCCCACCUUGGAGCAUCCAUCCAUUUCCAGAGCUUCCAUCCAACCUUGGAACAUCCAUCCCACCUUGGAACAUCCAUCCCAACCUGGAGCAUCUAUCUCAUCCCAGAUCAUCCAUGCCACCUGGAUCAUGCAACCUAUUCUGGAGCUUCCAUCCCACCUGGAUCAUCCAUUCUACCUUGGA